UUGUUGUUUAUGAUGUUUAAUUUGUUAUGACUGGUUUUUUUUUUGUUUUUUUGGUGAUGAGGUUACUUUGACUAUGGAUUCUCUUUCCCUUUACUCUUGUGAGACAAAUAGGGGGAGAAAUGGUACAUGGCACACAUCUAUUUUGUUAUGGUGUAUGUUUGAUAAAUGUUGUUUGUUGAAAAUUUUUGUUCUUUUAUAUGCUAUGAUCUAGAAGGUAUGCUAAAAUAUUGGCAUAAUUAUU
rnacentral:lncRNA from 1 species